rnacentral:rRNA from 1 species
UGGAUCCAGACUUUGAUUAUGGCUCAGGACGAACGCUGGCGGCAUGCCUAACACAUGCAAGUCGAACGGAGUUGUUAUACAGAAGUUCUUCGGGAUGGAAGUAUAAGAACUUAGUGGCGGACGGGUGAGUAACGCGUGGGUAACCUGCCCUUUUGUGGGGAACAACUUCGAGAAAUCGGAGCUAAUACCGCAUAAUAAUAGAGAAUCGCAUGAUUCUUUAAGGAAAGAUGGCCUCUGAAGAUGCUAUCGCAAAAGGAUGGACCCGCGUCUGAUUAGCUAGUUGGAAGGGUAACGGCCUACCAAGGCAACGAUCAGUAGCCGGCCUGAGAGGGUGAACGGCCACAUUGGGACUGAGACACGGCCCAAACUCCUACGGGAGGCAGCAGUGGGGAGUCUUCCGCAAUGGGCGAAAGCCUGACGGAGCAAUGCCGCGUGAGUGAAGAAGGCCUUCGGGUUGUAAAACUCUGUCCUUAUCGAAGAGAGGUGGGUAUGUGAAUAAUGUACUCAUAGGACGGUAGAUAAGGAGGAAGCCCCGGCUAACUACGUGCCAGCAGCCGCGGUAAUACGUAGGGGGCGAGCGUUGUCCGGAAUCGCUGGGCGUAAAGGGCGCGUAGGCGGUUUAAUAAGUCAGUGGUGAAAACUGAGGGCUCAACCCUCAGCCUGCCACUGAUACUGUUAGACUUGAGUAUGGAAGAGGAGAAUGGAAUUCCUAGUGUAGCGGUGAAAUGCGUAGAUAUUAGGAGGAACACCAGUGGCGAAGGCGAUUCUCUGGGCCAAGACUGACGCUGAGGCGCGAAAGCGUGGGGAGCAAACAGGAUUAGAUACCCUGGUAGUCCACGCCGUAAACGAUGGAUACUAGGUGUUAGUAGUUUCGAUGCUACUAGUGCCGGAGUAAACACAAUAAGUAUCCCGCCUGGGGAGUACGGUCGCAAGACUGCAACUCAA